GCUCUGCACGCCUGCUGCAGUGGGAGGGUCCUAGCUCGGCGGCUCAUUGCCUGACACAAGGCUGCAGCCCACACGCAUGGCCUGGAGGCCCGUCUACUGGAGACAUGGGGUGGAGCUCAGCCCUGCCGAGUAACUGACAGCAGCAACCGCCUCUGGCUCCAGGGCGCUACGGAAGGUGAUCCGAGGAUCAACAGACCAAGGGAGUUCUCGGUGCCCCCUCACAGAGGCGUCACUAGGGGGUGACAGGAUCCUGCCCUCUGCCAGAUCCAGCAAUCACCACGUCAUCAUCGGCUCCAUCGUCACCGCAACAUCUGCUGCCGCAGCAACCCAUCCUGCCUCUUUAGUCGGGCUCCAAACAAGGAGUGAUCCCAAAGCCAAGUACAGUAGCUGAGAGAAUGUGAUCAGCCUGUGACAUCAUAGUGACCAGUAACGCAUUGUGACAUCAUCAGCAUCUACCAUAUGUGAGCUGGCCUGAUACCCAGGGAUUGUAAUGACAAUAAGUUUCUACCAGCGCUGACCAGUGACAGGACCAGCACCAUUACUCAGUGCUGCCUAUAGUCACUGACCAAUCUGCCUCCCUUGGAGAUAUAAGUAACAAGCUGAGUCCCUCAGUGAUGCUGAACGUACCCAAGUAGCACAAUAAAUACACCGUGAGAUGCCGCCAAA